GACGAACGCUGGCGGCGUGGAUUAGGCAUGCAAGUCGGACGGUAGAGCUUUAUCGUAAGAUAGAGUUUGAGAGUGGCGAACGGGUGAGUAACACGUAGGAAUCUACCCUUAAGACGGGGACAACCCAGGGAAACUUGGGCUAAUACCGGAUGAGAGUGCGAGAGAUUGCAUUUAAAAGGAUGGCGAAAGUUGUCGCUUAGGGAUGAGCCUGCGGUCUAUUAGUUAGUUGGUGAGGUAAGAGCUCACCAAGGCGAUGAUAGAUAGGCGGCCUUAACGGGUGGUCGCCCACACUGGGAUUGAGAUACGGCCCAGACUCCUACGGGAGGCAGCAGUCGAGAAUAGUCUACAAUGGCCGGAAGGCUGAUAGUGCGACGCCGCGUGAACGAGGGAGCCCUUCGGGUGUAAAGUUCUUUUGCAGUGGAAUAAAGUUUGCCACGAGUUGGCGAUUUGCAAGUACGCUGCGAAUAAGGAUCGGCUAACUCCGUGCCAGCAGCCGCGGUAAGGCUACGU
rnacentral:rRNA from 1 species